rnacentral:rRNA from 1 species
CAGCCGCCGCGGUAAUACCGGCGGCCCGAGUGGCGGUCACUAUUAUUGGGCUUAAAGCGUCCGUAGCCGGGGUGGGAAGUCCUCCGGGAAAUCUGGCCGCUUAACGGUCAGAAUGCCGGAGGAUACUCCCAGCCUAGGGAGCGGGAGAGGCCGAGGGUAUUCCCGGGGUAGGGGUGAAAUCCUAUAAUCCCGGGAGGACCACCUGUGGCGAAGGCGCUCGGCUGGAACGCGUCCGACGGUGAGGGACGAAGGCCAGGGGAGCAAACCGGAUUAGAUACCCGGGUAGUCCUGGCUGUAAACGAUGCGGACUUUGUGUCGGACAAGCUAUGAGCUUGUCCGGUGCCGGAGGGAAACCGUUAAGUCCGCCGCCUGGGGAGUACGGCCGCAAGGCUGAAACUUAAAGGAAUUGGCGGG